AGGGUUUAGGAUUUGAUUAGGGUUUGAUUUAGGGUUUGGUUGGAGUUUGGUUUAAGAUUUGUUUAGGAUUUGGUUUAGGGUUUAGGGUUUUGUUUAGAGUUCGGAUAGAAUUUGGUUUAGGAUUUGGUUAGGGUUUGGUUUAGGGUUUGGUUAGGGUUUGAUUUAGGGUUUAGGAUUUGGUUUAGGAUUUAGGGUUUGAUUUAGGAUUUAGGAUUUUAUUAGGAUUUAUUUGGGGUUUAAGAUUUAAUUAUUUUUGGCCUAAAAUUUGAAUGAAGUCCAAUAGGAUUUUAACUAGGAUUAAAUUAAGAUUGAAUUGAGAUGUAUUUGAGAUAUAUUUGAGAUUAUUUUAAUAUUUUUUUAAGAUUUCUUAUUUUUUCUUUGAAAUUUCUUUGAGGUUUCUUUGAAUUUGAUUAAAGCUUGUUUAGUAUUAUU
rnacentral:lncRNA from 1 species